rnacentral:lncRNA from 1 species
GGGUAAGAAAGCUACACCAGCUUGGAUGUCAUUUUAGUUUUUGUACUGACAUUGUAAAUAGUCUUAUGCUUUAAAUUAAAUCCACACAGUGUGACAGUUAAUGGUGUCUUUGAUAGCGUUUCAAUUGAUGUGAUCCACCCUCUCUAGCUACCACCUCAUUUUCCAGCAUAUCCUUCCUUUUAUGAAGGAGUGGAGAAUUGGAUUUAAGAGUUGGAUGUAACCAGAGUGACCAGGUAAUAUUAAAAGUUGCAAACAUAUUUGACAGCUCAUUAGCUAACAUCAAAGGACAGCUAACAUUAGUGUAAAGCCUCUUGUAUGUUUUUAUUUAUCUUAAAAAACUCCAGAACUGAUGCAAAAAAGAUAAACGUUUGCACAAGUGAUGUGAAUUUUUUAUAAAUGACUUCUUCAGAAGUUCUUUUUAAUGAUCUUUUUUGGAAUCUUGGUUGAUUGAUUUACCAUUCUUGAUUCAUUAAAAGAAAAUUGCAGCGACACAAGUAAAAUUUCUUACGCUGCUCCCACAUUUAGGCAUAAGGCAACAAGGGUUAGACCUCCUGCGUUAUGGUUUAUGGCAUGACCCUGAUACCUGCGACCUUCUGUUGGUGGUUGUGGUGGUAAAAAGCUGAAAGUUGCCACUUAAAAGGGUUACAAAUUCAACCGCAACAUCAUUGUACUUAACAUCAUAUUGUUAGAGUGCUAACAUGACGUAGAAGCCGACACCAUCAUAAAAAGUAAACACUUCUAAAUUAGUCAUCUCAACACCUGCUGAUAUUUUAAGAGUGUGAUGUAAAUUAGUUUUAAAAAGUGAAAAGCAGAGAAAACAAGUGAAUGCCACUGUAUCUAGUUGAUUCUAUCAUGAAGUAAACUUAUGCAGUGAUCAAAGCUCACAUCUGUUUGUCUUCAUUUCAUGGCAUCAUCACGUCAAAGUCACCCGCCAAGAGAAAACCCUUUGAAACAAAUCAAAGCCCUUUCACGAGUCACUUUUUUCUUUUUCUGGUCUGAUCUCUUUAACUUUUUAUUUUCGCCCUGAUCGAAGAAUACCAUAUUCUCAAAUCUAUUCUCUCUCUGUUUCUGGCUCGGAGAAAUCACCAUGAAGUACGAGUGGAAUAGCACAUUGAAGGGCAAUUUGUAUAAUAGUGAAAAUUUCAGCCCUCCAGUAUGAAAUAAAUCUUGAAGUAUCAAAGAGAGGGUUUGUCCUCUGACUCUGUUCUCUCUUCAAACACUUGACUGUUUGAAUUUGCCACAGCUGUGUUUAGGAACUGAAAGCUGCCUCAGCUAAUGAGCUAUCGUCUGUGAACUGAGACAGCCCUUGACUCAUCAGUGGCAUCAACACAGUAUGUGAAACAUAGAAUAAUGGCAGUCGACUUUAAAAGCUCUCACUGCCUCUCUUUGAGUGCCAUUGUUGAAAAUACAUGACUGGUAAAGAAGAACACAUCACAAGGAAAAAUGAACAUAAAUAUUGAAUGCAAGGAAUUAAAAACUAAUUUGAUUACUUAUUACUUUCAUCAGGGAGAAACAAACUGGCACCACACUUUGACAUGUGCUCCUUUUAGGCUAAAUACAGCUGGGCUUUACUGUUGUUUUAUUGAUACUGAUGUGUUAUUAAAUGUGGGGUUUCAUAAUUAAAUUAGCUAUAUUGGCCAUGACAUAGACUUUUGUUCAUAUUAACAUGACAGCAUCACUCAGGUGCUGCAGAUUUGUCUGCUGCAUAUCCAUGAUGCAAACCCCCUUGUUUCACCACAUCCCAAAGGUGCUCCACAGGAUUGAGAUCUGGAGACUGAAGGCUGCUAGAGUUCAGUGAAUUCAGUUUCACGUUCAAGAAACCAGUCUGAGAUGAUUUGUGCAUUAUCCCACUGGAAAUGGACAUCAGAAGAUGGGUACACUGUGGUCAUAAAAUGGAUGAGCAUGGCACUAAAGGGCCCAAAGUGUGCCAAUAUCCCCCAAACCGU